CCCUUAGAUGUUCUGGGCCGCACGCGCGCUACACUGUCGAAGUCAGCGAGCAUGUCCUACGCCGACAGGUGCGGGGAAUCUUGUCAAACUUCGUCGUGAUGGGGAUUGAUUUUUGAAAUUCUUGAUCAUAAACGAGGAAUUCCUAGUAAGCGCAAGUCAGCAGCUUGCGUUGAUUACGUCCCUGCCCUUUGUACACACCGCCCGUCGCUACUACCGAUUGAAUGGUUUAGUGAGAUCUUCGGAUUGGCGCCACUGCAGCUCAGCAAUGGGCUUGGUGGAUGCCGAAAAGUUGAUCAAACUUGAUCAUUUAGAGGAAGUAAAAGUCGUAACA
rnacentral:rRNA from 1 species